UACGGAGGGUGCAAGCGUUAUCCGGAUUCACUGGGUUUAAAGGGUGUGUAGGCGGGUAGUUAAGUCAGUGGUGAAAUCUCCAGGCUCAACCUGGAAACUGCCAUUGAUACUAUCUAUCUUGAAUAUUGUUGAGGUAGGCGGAAUAAGUCAUGUAGCGGUGAAAUGCAUAGAUAUGACUUAGAACACCAAUUGCGAAGGCAGCUUACUAAGCAGUUAUUGACGCUGAGGCACGAAAGCGUGGGGAGCAAACAGG
rnacentral:rRNA from 1 species